CGUUAGCGGCGGACGGGUGAGUAACACGUGGGUAACCUACCUAUAAGACUGGGAUAAUUUCGGGAAACCGGAGCUAAUACCGGAUAAUAUUUCGAACCGCAUGGUUCGAUAGUGAAAGAUGGUUUUGCUAUCACUUAUAGAUGGACCUGCGCCGUAUUAGCUAGUUGGUAAGGUAACGGCUUACCAAGGCGACGAUACGUAGCCGACCUGAGAGGGUGAUCGGCCACACUGGAACUGAGACACGGUCCAGACUCCUACGGGAGGCAGCAGUA
rnacentral:rRNA from 1 species